rnacentral:rRNA from 1 species
UACGUAGGGUGCAAGCGUUGUCCGGAAUUAUUGGGCGUAAAGAGCUCGUAGGUGGCCUGUCGCGUCGGCUGUGAAAACUCGGGGCUCAACUCCGAGCUUGCAGUCGAUACGGGCAGGCUAGAGUUCGGCAGGGGAGACUGGAAUUCCUGGUGUAGCGGUGAAAUGCGCAGAUAUCAGGAGGAACACCGGUGGCGAAGGCGGGUCUCUGGGCCUAUACUGACACUGAGGAGCGAAAGCGUGGGGAGCGAACAGG